GGGUAUUUAGCUCAGUGGUAGAGCGCUUGCCUAGCGAGCGCAAGGCCCUGGGUUCAAUCCCCAGCUCCA
rnacentral:tRNA from 1 species